UGCAGCGACGCCGCGUGGAGGAUGAAGGGUCUAGGCUCGUAAACUCCUUUUUCAGGGAAAGACUUAGGACGGUACCCUGAGAAUAAGGACCGGCUAACUACGUGCCAGCAGCCGCGGUAAGACGUAGGGUCCAAGCGUUGUCCGGAUUUACUGGGCGUAAAGAGCGCGUAGGCGGCUCGUUAAGUGUGAAGUGAAAUCUCCAGGGCUCAACCCGGAAACUGCUUUACAUACUGGCGAGCUAGAGGGAUGCAGAGGUUUGUGGAAUUCCUGGUGUAGCGGUGAAAUGCGUUGAUAUCAGGAGGAACACCCAUGGCGAAGGCAGCAAACUGGGCAUCAUCUGACGCUGAGGCGCGAAAGCGUGGGUAGCAAACAGGAUUAGAUACCCUGGUAGUCCACGCCCUAAACGAUGGAUACUAGGCGUAAGAGGUAUCGACCCCUCUUGUGCCGCAGCUAACGCAUUAAGUAUCCCGCCUGGGGAGUACGGCCGCAAGGUUGAAACUCAAAUGAAUUGACGGGGACCCGCACAAGCGGUGGAGCAUGUGGAUUAAUUCGAUACUAACCGAAGAACCUUACCCAGGUUUGACAUCGAUCGCAAGCCUUAGAAAUAGGGCCCUCCCCAAAAGGGACGU
rnacentral:rRNA from 1 species